CUUCCCCCUCGGCCUUUUGGCUAAGACCAAGUGUAGUAUCUGUUCUUAUCAGCUUGAUAUCUGAUACAUCCUCUAUCCAAGGACAAUAUGUUCAAUGGAUUUUUGGAACUAGGAGUUGGAAUAGGACCUUGCUCCGUCCACUCCACACAUCGACCUAGUAUUGCAGUACCUCCAGAACUGUGCACCAGAA
rnacentral:snRNA from 1 species